rnacentral:misc_RNA from 1 species
AAGUUCUGGUUAUGGCAAGAAAAGUAGCUGGAAUUCUGGAUCUGGUGAUGCAAGCCGGGAUUCUUGUGGUUGGGGCGAGAAAAGUAGUUGGAAAACUGGAGAUAGUAAUGUCAACCGGGGUUCUUUUGUAGCCAGUGGUGAAGACCAAACUGAUAAUUCUGGCUAUCGAGAAGGUGGUGGGAGUUGGAGGGGUGGUUUCAGAGGAAGAGGUGGUUCUUUUGACAGAGGGGGCUUUAGAGGUAGGGGGGAGAGAGGAGGUUUUUGGGGUAGAAAUGGUUCAGAGAGGGGAGGCUAUGGGGGUAGAGACAGAUCCGACAGAGGAGGAUUUGGAGGUAGAGGUGGUUUAGAUAGGGGAGGUUUUGGUGGUAGAGGUAGAUUUGAUAGAGGAUAUGGUGGCAGAGGCGGUGGAAGGAGGGAUCAUAGUGGUAGUUGGAAUGAAAACAAUGAUUCUGGCAAAGACAAGGCCUUUGACUGGAAGAAUGGGAUCAACAAUGAUGGCGAAGGAUGGAAAACUAGUGGCGGAGGCAGUUGGAACCAAGGGGGUGCUAAUAAGAGCCAAACUGGUGGUUGGGGCAAGGGCAUUAAUGCAGUUGGGGAAUCCAAUGAUUCAUGGGGUAAAUCAUCAGCAAGCUCUUGGGGAAACAAGGGAGAUG